CCUGAUGCAGCAACGCCGCGUGAGGGAUGACGGCCUUCGGGUUGUAAACCUCUUUUAGCAAGGAAGAAGCUUUCGGGUGACGGUACUUGCAGAAAAAGCGCCGGCUAACUACGUGCCAGCAGCCGCGGUAAUACGUAGGGCGCAAGCGUUAUCCGGAAUUAUUGGGCGUAAAGAGCUCGUAGGCGGUUUGUCGCGUCUGCUGUGAAAUCCCGAGGCUCAACCUCGGGCCUGCAGUGGGUACGGGCAGACUAGAGUGCGGUAGGGGAGAUUGGAAUUCCUGGUGUAGCGGUGGAAUGCGCAGAUAUCAGGAGGAACACCGAUGGCGAAGGCAGAUCUCUGGGCCGUAACUGACGCUGAGGAGCGAAAGGGUGGGGAGCAAACAGGCUUAGAUACCCUGGUAGUCCACCCCGUAAACGUUGGGAACUAGUUGUGGGGUCCUUUCCACGGAUUCCGUGACGCAGCUAACGCAUUAAGUUCCCCGCCUGGGGAGUACGGCCGCAAGGCUAAAACUCAAAGGAAUUGACGGGGACCCGCACAAGCGGCGGAGCAUGCGGAUUAAUUCGAUGCAACGCGAAGAACCUUACCAAGGCUUGACAUACACCAGAACAUCCCAGAAAUGGGGGACUCUUUGGACA
rnacentral:rRNA from 1 species